UCAAUUAUUUAUAGCCUCUGGCUAUAGGAAAUUGUUAGUGGCAGACGGGUGAGUAAUGCGUAGGAAUCUACCUAGUAGUACGGAAUAGCCAUUAGAAAUGGUGGGUAAUACUGUAUAAUCCCCGAGGGGGAAAGAUUUAUCGCUAUUAGAUGAGCCUACGUUAGAUUAGCUAGUUGGUGAGGUAAUGGCUUACCAAGGCUAUGAUCUAUAGCUGGUCUGAGAGGACGAUCAGCCACACUGGAACUGAGAUACGGUCCAGACUCCUACGGGAGGCAGCAGUGGGGAAUAUUGGACAAUGGGCGAAAGCCUGAUCCAGCUAUGCCGCGUGAGUGAAGAAGGCCUUCGGGUUGUAAAACUCUUUCAAUAGGGAAGAUAAUGACGGUACCUAUAAAAGG
rnacentral:rRNA from 1 species